AGAGUUUGAUCUUGGCUCAGGAUGAACGCUAGCGGCAGGCUUAACACAUGCAAGUCGAGGGGCAGCACGGGUAGCAAUACUUGGUGGCGACCGGCGCAAGGGUGCGUAACGCGUGAGCAACAUGCCCGUAUCUGGGGGAUAAUCCAUGGAAACGUGGUCUAAUACCCCAUAGUAAGUUUUUGGGGCAUCUCGAAGAUUUUAAAGCUUUGGUGGAUACGGAUUGGCUCGCGUGACAUUAGCUAGAUGGUAAGGUAACGGCUUACCAUGGCUACGAUGUCUAGGGGUUCUGAGAGGAAGGUCCCCCACACUGGAACUGAGACACGGUCCAGACUCCUACGGGAGGCAGCAGUGAGGAAUAUUGGACAAUGGAUGGAAAUCUGAUCCAGCCAUGCCGCGUGCAGGAAGACGGCCCUAUGGGUUGUAAACUGCUUUUGUAUGGGAGCAAUAAGAUCUACGUGUAGAUUGAUGAGAGUACCAUACGAAUAAGCACCGGCUAACUCCGUGCCAGCAGCCGCGGUAAUACGGAGGGUGCAAGCGUUAUCCGGAUUUAUUGGGUUUAAAGGGUGCGUAGGCGGUUUGAUAAGUCAGCGGUGGAAUAUUUCAGCUUAACUGGAAGGGUGCCGUUGAUACUGUCGAGCUUGAAUUUAGUUGCUGUGGGUGGAAUGUGUGGUGUAGCGGUGAAAUGCAUAGAUAUCACACAGAAUAUCGAUUGCGAAGGCAGCUCACAAAGCUAAUAUUGACGCUGAUGCACGAAAGUGUGGGGAUCAAACAGGAUUAGAUACCCUGGUAGUCCACACCGUAAACGAUGAUAACUCGCUGUCGGCGAUACACAGUCGGUGGCCAAGCGAAAGCGAUAAGUUAUCCACCUGGGGAGUACGACCGCAAGGUUGAAACUCAAAAGAAUUGACGGA
rnacentral:rRNA from 1 species